rnacentral:rRNA from 1 species
UACGGGGGGGGCAAGCGUUGUUCGGAAUUACUGGGCGUAAAGGGCGCGUAGGCGGCCUUCUAAGUCGGACGUGAAAUCCCUCGGCUUAACCGAGGAACUGCGUCCGAGACUGAAAGGCUUGAAUCCGGGAGAGGGAUGUGGAAUUCCAGGUGUAGCGGUGAAAUGCGCAGAUAUCGGGAGGAACACCAAUUGCGAAGGCAGCUUGCUGGGACGAUACUGACGCUGAGGCGCGAAAGCGUGGGGAGCAAACAGG